rnacentral:rRNA from 1 species
AGUGAACGCUGGCGGUAGGCCUAACACAUGCAAGUCGAACGGCAGCACAGUAAGAGCUUGCUCUUACGGGUGGCGAGUGGCGGACGGGUGAGGAAUACAUCGGAAUCUACUUUUUCGUGGGGGAUAACGUAGGGAAACUUACGCUAAUACCGCAUACGACCUACGGGUGAAAGCAGGGGAUCUUCGGACCUUGCGCGAUUGAAUGAGCCGAUGUCGGAUUAGCUAGUUGGCGGGGUAAAGGCCCACCAAGGCGACGAUCCGUAGCUGGUCUGAGAGGAUGAUCAGCCACACUGGAACUGAGACACGGUCCAGACUCCUACGGGAGGCAGCAGUGGGGAAUAUUGGACAAUGGGCGCAAGCCUGAUCCGGCCAUACCGCGUGGGUGAAGAUGGCCUUCGGGUUGUAAAGCCCUUUUGUUGGGAAAGAAAAGCAGCAGGUUAAUACCCCGCUGUUCUGACGGUACCCAAAGAAUAAGCACCGGCUAACUUCGUG